rnacentral:rRNA from 1 species
CACCCAGCCCGUGAAAUUGGGUGUGAAUCUGGGGGGACCACCCCCUAAGCCUAAAUACUCCCUGGUGACCGAUAGCGGACUAGUACCGUGAGGGAAAGGUGAAAAGUACCCCGGGAGGGGAGUGAAAUAGUACCUGAAACCGUGUGCCUACAAGCCGUGGGAGCCCUGUAGGGGGUGACUGCGUGCCUUUUGAAGAAUGAGCCUGCGAGUUUGCGGUACGUGGCGAGGUUAACCCGUGUGGGGUAGCCGUAGCGAAAGCGAGUCCGAACAGGGCGAUUUUGAAGUCGCGUGCUCAAGACCCGAAGCCAAGUGAUCUACCCAUGGCCAGGUUGAAGCGCGGGUAAGACCGCGUGGAGGACCGAACCCACUUAGGUUGAAAACUGAGGGGAUGAGCUGUGGGUAGGGGUGAAAGGCCAAUCAAACUUGGUGAUAGCUGGUUCUCCCCGAAAUGCAUUUAGGUGCAGCGUCACGCGUUUCUUGCCGGAGGUAGAGCACUGGAUGGCCUAGGGGGCCCACAAGCUUACUGAAGUCAACCAAACUCCGAAUGCCGGUAAGUGAGAGCGUGGCAGUGAGACUGCGGGGGAUAAGCUUCGUAGUCGAGAGGGAAACAGCCCAGACCAUCAGCUAAGGCCCCUAAGCGUGUGCUAAGUGGGAAAGGAUGUGGAGUCGCAGAGACAACCAGGAGGUUGGCUUAGAAGCAGCCACCCUUGAAAGAGUGCGUAAUAGCUCACUGGUCAAGUGAUUCUGCGCCGACAAUGUAGCGGGGCUCAAGCACACCGCCGAAGCUAUGGCACUCACGCGUUACUCUCGUCCGGUCGCUUGCGGUCGGGUGCAGGGGCGUGGGUGGGUAGGGGAGCGUCGUGCGGGGGGUGAAGCGACGGCGGGAGCCAGUCGUGGACGCCGCACGAGUGAGAAUGCAGGCAUGAGUAGCGAAAGAGGGGUGAGAAACCCCUCCGCCGGAUGACCAAGGGUUCCUGGGGCAGGCUAAUCCGCCCAGGGUAAGUCGGGGCCUAAGGCGAGGCCGACAGGCGUAGUCGAUGGAUAACGGGUUGAUAUUCCCGUACCCGCUGUGACGCGCCCAUGCUGAAUCAGUUGUGCUAAGCACCCCGAGCUCGCCGGGUCUUCGGACCGGGUGAGGGAGGCGUGCGGCCCUGGCUGGUAGUAGGCAAGCGAAGGGAUGACGCAGGAAGGUAGUCCAGCCCAGGCGGUGGUUGUCCUGGGGUAAGGGUGUAGGGCGGGCUGUAGGUAAAUCCGCGGCCCAUAAAGCCUGAGACCUGAUGCCGAGCCCGUAGGGCGAAGUGGGUGAUCCUAUGCUGUCGAGAAAAGUCUCUAGCGAGUGUCAUGGCGGCCCGUACCCCAAACCGACUCAGGUGGUCAGGUAGAGAAUACCGAGGCGAUCGAGCGAACUAUGGUUAAGGAACUCGGCAAAAUGCCCCCGUAACUUCGGGAGAAGGGGGGCCGCGUGGCCGUGACUCACCCCAGCGGUGAGAAAGCGGUGGGCGGCCGCAGAGACCAGGCUGAAGCGACUGUUUACUAAAAACACAGGUCCGUGCGAAGUCGCAAGACGAUGUAUACGGACUGACGCCUGCCCGGUGCUGGAACGUUAAGGGGACGGGUCAGUCUCACCUUCGGGUGGGGCGAAGCUCAGAACUCAAGCGCCAGUAAACGGCGGUGGUAACUAUAACCAUCCUAAGGUAGCGAAAUUCCUUGUCGGGUAAGUUCCGACCUGCACGAAUGGCGUAACGACUUCAGCGCUGUCUCAACCAUAGGCUCGGCGAAAUUGCAGUACGAGUAAAGAUGCUCGUUACGCGCGGCAGGACGGAAAGACCCCGGGACCUUCACUACAGCUUGAUAUUGGUGUUCGGUUCGGCUUGUGUAGGAUAGGUGGGAGACGUGGAAGCUCGCACGCCAGUGCGGGUGGAGUCAUCGUUGAAAUACCACUCUGGUCGAAUUGGAUGUCUAACUUCGGUCCGUGAUCCGGAUCAGGGACAGUGUCAGGUGGGUAGUUUAACUGGGGCGGUUGCCUCCCAAAAUGUAACGGAGGCGCCCAAAGGUUCCCUCAGCCUGGUUGGUAAUCAGGUGUCGAGUGCAA